CUCCGUACCGGUAGAAAGAUCUCAAGUCCUCGAGUAGGGCGGGACACGUGAAAUCCUGUCUGAACGUGGGGGGACCACCCUCCAAGCCUAAGUACUCCUGUGUGACCGAUAGUGAACAAGUACCGUGAGGGAAAGGUGAAAAGUACCCCUAUUAGGGGAGUGAAAUAGUCCCUGAAACCGAAUGCCUACAAACAGUUGGAGCUCAAGAUUCGUUCUGGGUGACAGCGUACCUUUUGUAUAAUGGGUCAGUGAGUUAGUCUCACAUGCAAGCUUAAGCCGUUAGGUGUAGGCGCAGCGAAAGCGAGUCUGAAUAGGGCGAUACAGUAUGUGGGAUUAGACCCGAAACCGGGUGAUCUAGGCAUGGCCAGGUUGAAGAUGCUGUAACAGGCAUUGGAGGACCGAACCGACCGGCGUUGAAAAGCCGGCGGAUGAGCUGUGCCUAGGGGUGAAAGGCCAAUCAAACCCGGAGAUAGCUGGUUCUCCGCGAAAACUAUUUAGGUAGUGCGUCGUGUAUUACCGUUGGGGGUAGAGCACUGAAUGGGCUAGGGGGGCGCGAGCCUUACCAAACCUAAUCAAACUCCGAAUACCAACGAGUAGAGCACGGCAGACACACUAUGGGUGCUAAGGUCCAUAGUGGAGAGGGAAACAGCCCUGACCGCCGUCUAAGGUCCCUAAGUUAUUGCUAAGUGGAAAAGGAUGUGAGUGUGCACAGACAACCAGGAUGUUGGCUUAGAAGCAGCCAUCAUUUAAAGAAAGCGUAACAGCUCACUGGUCAAGCGCACAUGCGCCGAAGAUUUACCGGGGCUCAAGCAAUACACCGAAGACGCGGGUUCAUGAUUUAUCAUGAGCGGUAGCGGAGCGUUCUGUAAGCUGUCGAAGCGGUACCCGUGAGGGGCCGUGGAGGUAUCAGAAGUGAGAAUGCUGACAUGAGUAGCGAUAAAGAGUGUGAGAAACACUCUCGCCGAAAGUCCAAGGGUUCCUCAGCAAGGCUAAUCCGCUGAGGGUGAGUCGGCCCCUAAGGCGAGGCCGAAAGGCGUAGUCGAUGGGAAACAGGUUAAUAUUCCUGUACCUGAUGAGAUGUGACGGAUGAUGUAAGUUGUACUUCCUUAUCGGAUUGGAAGUGCAGUGAAAUCGUCCCAGGAAAUAGCCUCAUCAUAAGACCGUACCCCAAACCGACACAGGUGGUCGAGUAGAAUAUACUAAGGCGCUUGAGAGAACUGCAUUGAAGGAACUCGGCAAAUUGCCUCCGUAACUUCGGGAGAAGGAGGCCCCAUGUUUAGGCAACUAGAUGUGGGGGGCACAGAAUAGGGGGUGGCGACUGUUUACUAAAAACACAGGGCUCUGCGAAGUCGCAAGACGACGUAUAGGGUCUGACGCCUGCCCGGUGCCUGAAGGUUAAGAGGAGGGGUGAGAGCUCCCAAUUGAAGCCCAGGUAAACGGCGGCCGUAACAAUAACGGUCCUAAGGUAGCGAAAUUCCUUGUCGGGUAAGUUCCGACCUGCACGAAUGGCGUAACGACUUCCCCACUGUCUCCAAUGCAGACUCAGCGAAAUUGAAUUCCCCGUGAAGAUGCGGGGUACUCGCGGUUAGACGGAAAGACCCCGUGCACCUUUACUAUAGCUUUGCAGUGGUAUUAGGUCGGUCAUGUGUAGGAUAGGCGGGAGCCGUUGAAGUCAUUGCGCCAGUAGUGAUGGAGGCAUCCUUGAAAUACCGCCCUUGAUUGAUUUGAUAUCUAACCGCGGCGCGCGAGCGUCCGGGACCCUGCAUGGUGGGUAGUUUGACUGGGGCGGUCGCCUCCUAAAGAGUAACGGAGGCGCGCGAAGGUAGGCUCAAUCUGGUCGGAAAUCAGAUGUUGAGUGCAAUGGCAUAAGCCUGCCUGACUGCGAGCCCGACAGGGCGAGCAGAGACGAAAGUCGGUCAUAGUGAUCCGGUGGUCCCGCGUGGAAGGGCCAUCGCUCAACGGAUAAAAGGUACGCCGGGGAUAACAGGCUGAUCUCCCCCAAGAGUCCACAUCGACGGGGAGGUUUGGCACCUCGAUGUCGGCUCAUCACAUCCUGGGGCUGGAGCAGGUCCCAAGGGUUUGGCUGUUCGCCAAUUAAAGUGGUACGUGAGCUGGGUUUAGAACGUCGUGAGACAGUUCGGUCCCUAUCUGCCGUGAGUGUCGGAGAAUUGAGAGGAUCUGCCCCUAGUACGAGAGGACCGGGGUGGACGUACCUCUGGUGGACCGGUUGUUGCGCCAGCAGCAUAGCCGGGUAGCUAAGUACGGACGGGAUAACCGCUGAAAGCAUCUAAGCGGGAAACCUCCCUCGA
rnacentral:rRNA from 1 species